UGUUGGUGGUUAGAACACUUUCGUGCCCAUUCACCAUGACCGGUUAUUGGUUACUUGAAAAGUAUCAGUACUCUUUUAUUUUCGUUUUCUUUUUGUUUACAGUAUGUGUGUGUUUACAGAAUGUAGUGAUAUGAAAGGAAUACAUAAGAAAACAAAACAAAAUCAAAACUAAAGGAAAAAAGAACUUUAAGCAAAGAUGAUGAUUGUUUACAAAUAAGAGUCAAACUUCAAUUUUGCAAAGUGCAAUAAAGUUGAUUAAUUCAUCUAUAUUUUGUUGGUUAUUGGACAUCAGGAUUUCCGGUUUCACAAAGAUUUGAGUCAGCAAUUCCAAUUCUGUGGAAAUAUUUUUUGGUGUAAGUAUGACCAGUGAGCAAUCGAUUAACAAUCUUUAUAUUUUCAGGUUUCAUGUUUGAUGAAAAAAACCAGGGCUGUUUAGCAGGCGCCGCGAAGAAUUGGUAGAAGAGUGACUCAAUUCGUUUCAACGCAUCUGUGACCGACAGACAGAAGUUGAUUGGUGAACCAACAUUUGCAGCAUGCUUCGCAAAAUAAUCGGCUGUUUCAUUGAUUGGUAUACCGACAUGUGAAGGUGUCCAAACAAACGAAAUUUUAUUUAAAUGCGAGUUAACUAUUUUGUUUAAAAUGUUGUACACUGUGAAAUUGUGAGAUGUGUUGUUUUUAAGCAGAAGACAAGCAUUUUUGCUGUCUGUAAAUAAAGCAGCUGUGCUGACACCGUCUUCGAUCAUCAAA